ACUAUCGUUAACUGAAUACAUAGGUUAACGAGGCGAACCGGGGGAACUGAAACAUCUAAGUACCCCGAGGAAAAGAAAUCAACCGAGAUUCCCCCAGUAGCGGCGAGCGAACGGGGAGCAGCCCAGAGUCUGAAUCAGCUUGUGUGUUAGUGGAACGGUCUGGAAAGUCCGACGGUACAGGGUGAUAGUCCCGUACACCAAAAUGCACAGGUUGUGAACUCGAAGAGUAGGGCGGGACACGUGGUAUCCUGUCUGAAUAUGGGGGGACCAUCCUCCAAGGCUAAAUACUCCUGACUGACCGAUAGUGAACCAGUACCGUGAGGGAAAGGCGAAAAGAACCCCGGCGAGGGGAGUGAAAAAGAACCUGAAACCGUGUACGUACAAGCAGUGGGAGCACCUUCGGGUGUGACUGCGUACCUUUUGUAUAAUGGGUCAGCGACUUAUAUUCUGUAGCAAGGUUAACCGUAUAGGGGAGCCGCAGGGAAACCGAGUCUUAACUGGGCGUUAAGUUGCAGGGUAUAGACCCGAAACCCGGUGAUCUAGCCAUGGGCAGGUUGAAGGUUGGGUAACACUAACUGGAGGACCGAACCGACUAAUGUUGAAAAAUUAGCGGAUGACUUGUGGCUGGGGGUGAAAGGCCAAUCAAACCGGGAGAUAGCUGGUUCUCCCCGAAAGCUAUUUAGGUAGCGCCUCGUGAAUUCAUCUUCGGGGGUAGAGCACUGUUUCGGCUAGGGGGUCAUCCCGACUUACCAACCCGAUGCAAACUACGAAUACCGAAGAAUGUUAUCACGGGAGACACACGGCGGGUGCUAACGUCCGUCGUGAAGAGGGAAACAACCCAGACCGCCAGCUAAGGUCCCAAAGUCAUGGUUAAGUGGGAAACGAUGUGGGAAGGCACAGACAGCCAGGAUGUUGGCUUAGAAGCAGCCAUCAUUUAAAGAAAGCGUAAUAGCUCACUGGUCGAGUCGGCCUGCGCGGAAGAUGUAACGGGGCUAAACCAUGCACCGAAGCUGCGGCAGCGACACUAUGUGUUGUUGGGUAGGGGAGCGUUCUGUAAGCCUGCGAAGGUGACCUGUGAGGGUUGCUGGAGGUAUCAGAAGUGCGAAUGCUGACAUAAGUAACGAUAAAGCGGGUGAAAAGCCCGCUCGCCGGAAGACCAAGGGUUCCUGUCCAACGUUAAUCGGGGCAGGGUGAGUCGACCCCUAAGGCGAGGCCGAAAGGCGUAGUCGAUGGGAAACAGGUUAAUAUUCCUGUACUUGGUGUUACUGCGAAGGGGGGACGGAGAAGGCUAUGUUAGCCGGGCGACGGUUGUCCCGGUUUAAGCAUGUAGGCUGGUUAUCCAGGCAAAUCCGGAUAAUCAAGGCUGAGGUGUGAUGACGAGGCACUACGGUGCUGAAGUAACAAAUGCCCUGCUUCCAGGAAAAGCCUCUAAGCAUCAGGUAACAUCAAAUCGUACCCCAAACCGACACAGGUGGUCAGGUAGAGAAUACCAAGGCGCUUGAGAGAACUCGGGUGAAGGAACUAGGCAAAAUGGUGCCGUAACUUCGGGAGAAGGCACGCUGGUGUGUAGGUGAAGCCCCUGCGGGUGGAGCUGAGACCAGUCGAAGAUACCAGCUGGCUGCAACUGUUUAUUAAAAACACAGCACUGUGCAAACACGAAAGUGGACGUAUACGGUGUGACGCCUGCCCGGUGCCGGAAGGUUAAUUGAUGGGGUUAUCCGUAAGGAGAAGCUCUUGAUCGAAGCCCCGGUAAACGGCGGCCGUAACUAUAACGGUCCUAAGGUAGCGAAAUUCCUUGUCGGGUAAGUUCCGACCUGCACGAAUGGCGUAAUGAUGGCCAGGCUGUCUCCACCCGAGACUCAGUGAAAUUGAACUCGCUGUGAAGAUGCAGUGUACCCGCGGCAAGACGGAAAGACCCCGUGAACCUUUACUAUAGCUUGACACUGAACAUUGAGCCUUGAUGUGUAGGAUAGGUGGGAGGCUUUGAAGCGUGGACGCCAGUCUGCGUGGAGCCAACCUUGAAAUACCACCCUUUAAUGUUUGAUGUUCUAACGUUGGCCCCUUACCGGGGUUGCGGACAGUGUCUGGUGGGUAGUUUGACUGGGGCGGUCUCCUCCCAAAGCGUAACGGAGGAGCACGAAGGUUAGCUAAUCCUGGUCGGACAUCAGGAGGUUAGUGCAAUGGCAUAAGCUAGCUUGACUGCGAGCGUGACGGCGCGAGCAGGUGCGAAAGCAGGUCAUAGUGAUCCGGUGGUUCUGAAUGGAAGGGCCAUCGCUCAACGGAUAAAAGGUACUCCGGGGAUAACAGGCUGAUACCGCCCAAGAGUUCAUAUCGACGGCGGUGUUUGGCACCUCGAUGUCGGCUCAUCACAUCCUGGGGCUGAAGUAGGUCCCAAGGGUAUGGCUGUUCGCCAUUUAAAGUGGUACGCGAGCUGGGUUUAGAACGUCGUGAGACAGUUCGGUCCCUAUCUGCCGUGGGCGCUGGAGAAUUGAGGGGGGCUGCUCCUAGUACGAGAGGACCGGAGUGGACGCAUCACUGGUGUUCGGGUUGUCAUGCCAAUGGCACUGCCCGGUAGCUAAAUGCGGAAGAGAUAAGUGCUGAAAGCAUCUAAGCACGAAACUUGCCCCGAGAUGAGUUCU
rnacentral:rRNA from 2 species